rnacentral:rRNA from 1 species
UGAAUACGAGAUGCUACGGCGUCGAAGCAGUCUAUGUCAUACUUCCAAGAAAAGCUUGCACUGUCAUAAACAAAUAAUGCCUGUACCAUAACCGACACAGGUGGGUAGGUAGAGUAUACUAAGGGGCGCGAGAUAACUCUCUCUAAGGAACUCGGCAAAAUGACUCCGUAACUUCGGGAGAAGGAGUGCCUUAUUUAUAAGGUUGCAAUAACAAGAUCCAAGCAACUGUUUACCAAAAACACAGGUCUCCGCUAAGUCGUAAGACGAUGUAUGGGGGCUGACGCCUGCCCAGUGCCAGAAGGUUAAAGAAGUUGGUUAGCAUCCGCGAAGCUGAUAACUGAAGCCCUGGUGAACGGCGGCCGUAACGAUAACGGUCCUAAGGUAGCGAAAUUCCUUGUCGGGUAAGUUCCGACCCGCACGAAAGGCGUAAUGAUUUGGAUACUGUCUCGGAGAGGGGCUCGGUGAAAUAGACUUGUCUGUGAAGAUGCGGACUACCUGCACCAGGACAGAAAGACCCUAUGAAGCUUUACUGUAACCUGAAAUUGAAAUUGGACUUUACUUGCGCAGUAUAGGUGGGAGGCGUUGAGAAUAUUCUUGCGGGAUUAUUGGAGCCAUCAGUGAGAUACCACUCUUGUAAUGUUAGAUUUCUAACUUUGUAUCAUUAUCUGGUCAAAGAACAGUUUCAGGCGGGCAGUUUGACUGGGGCGGUCGCCUCCUAAACGGUAACGGAGGCGCACAAAGGUUUCCUCUGAACGGGUAGAAAUCGUAUCUAGAGUGUAAAGGCAUAAGGAAGCUUGACUGUGAGACCUACAAGUCGAGCAGGGACGAAAGUCGGUCUUAGUGAUCUGACGGUGCUGAGUGGAAAGGCCGUCACUCAACGGAUAAAAGAUACUCUAAGGAUAACAGGCUGAUCUCCCCCAAGAGUUCACAUCGACGGGGAGGUUUGGCACCUCGAUGUCGGCUCAUCGCAUCCUGGGGCGGUAGUACGUCCCAAGGGUUGGGCUGUUCGCCCAUGAAAGCGGUACGCGAGCUGGGUUCAGAACGUCGUGAGACAGUUCGGUCCAUAUCCGGUGUAGGCGUUAGAAUAUUGAGAGGAGCCUUCUUUAGUACGAGAGGACCGAGAAGGACAUACCUCUGGUGUACCAGUUAUCGUGCCAACGGUAAACGCUGGGUAGCUAUGUGUGGAGUGGAUAACCGCUGAGAGCAUCUAAGUGGGAAGCCCACCUCAAGAUAAG